rnacentral:rRNA from 1 species
UACGUAGGGUGCGAGCGUUGUCCGGAAUUACUGGGCGUAAAGAGCUCGUAGGUGGUUUGUCGCGUUGUUCGUGAAAACUCACAGCUCAACUGUGGGCGUGCGGGCGAUACGGGCAGACUGGAGUACUGCAGGGGAGACUGGAAUUCCUGGUGUAGCGGUGGAAUGCGCAGAUAUCAGGAGGAACACCGGUGGCGAAGGCGGGUCUCUGGACAGUUCCUGACACUGAGACACGAAGGCCAGGGGAGCAAACGGG